GGCUUGCAAUGGAUAAUCUUUUUUCUAGGAUUAAUAUGUUCUUUGGUGACAGACAGCACAAGAGUUUAAGCUGAUAAUGCUUCGCUCCCAAUUUUCAUGAAGCUGCAAGGCGAAUUCAAGACUUCAUGCCACGUCGCCCAUUGUUGGCCGUUCAAUAGCUACGCCGCGUACACAACUAUCAGCAGUCUCCUCGAACUUGUUCGAAGAGACAAGUGUGAUAUCACCCU
rnacentral:misc_RNA from 1 species